UUACGGCACAGUGAAAUUUGAGUUACCAUACAGCCAUAUUAAGCGAAAAGAACAAAAUACACACAUAAUAUGAAAUUUAACAUAAACAUCCACCACAGUGGAAUCAUCAUUCCUCAUUGUGAAGGAAGGCAAUAAAGUUCAGCCAUCUUCCUCCUUUAUUCACCCGUGGUCGAGGCCUUUGAACCGUCGCAUUCACGGCUGCCGACGGCCCGAUGUUAAGGCCCUCUCGUCGGGAGGAUCGAAACUCCGACGACCGGGAGAGGCUUUAAACACGGAAAUAUGCUAGCGGGAGGUAGAAGAACUUGCUCGGAAAGGCGGUCGUGCAGUUGGUGCAGAGGAGAGAUACAGCAGAGGAUAAGCACAUGAGAAUACAUGUCUGAAAUUUCGACCUGCAGCGUUAACUCUGUUUCUCUCUCCAGUAUUUCUGAUUUCCAUGUUAGAUAAAGAUCAGUCUGAUAAUGCGAAUGAAACGGCGAGGUCGGGGCAGACACAGGGACAGAAUGGCCUUUUGUACCAAUGGUCCGGAAGAAAUGGCUGAGGUAAUUUCAACCUAAUUUGUCGGUUGGAAAGGAAGGAAGAAAUGAACCGCUGUGUGCUUGCACCUCUCACACCCACUCUCCGAGAUGAAACAUGACGCCACCGGAAUAACGCGAAUCAUUGUUGCGGGCUCAGCCGAGGAGAGUGUUUCGGGGCGGGUUCAGCGCCGACUCCAAUAGCUGGCCGAGUGUGUUGAGGGAAGUCACUUAAUUCCUCUCACUUUCUAAACAGCGAUCCAGCUGAGCGAACAUGUGGCUGUUUUCCUGUUUUUUCGUGCUAAGUUUGGGCUGUGGGUGUUUGGCCCAGACCCUGACCCAGCCCAAAGGAUCGCUAACCUCGUCUGCCGGUAAAACAGUGCGAGUCUGGUGUCAAGUGAAAGACGUCCAAAUUAGUGACACCAACCCCAUUCACUGGUACCAACAGAAAGCCGGGCAGCCGAUCGCUCGGAUACUCUACUUUGGAAAUCGCGUGGUGCGGGAUCCGGGAUUUGGGACCUCCUUCAACGGUGGGAAAACCACUGACACCGCAUUCUACCUUGCAAUUGAAUUAACGGCUGACAAAUCUGCCACCUAUUACUGCGCCUGCUGGGUUACACAGCGUGUAACAGAAACACAAUCUCCGCACAAAAAGCCAGAACACCUGUGUGCACCUGAUCCGGAGACUGCAACAACCCGCCGCUGCACCCCUCGCCUACUGCAACAACCCGCCGCUGCACCCCUCGCCUACUGAACAACCCGCCGCUGCACCCCUCGCCUACUGCAACAACCCGCCGCUGCACCCCUCGCCUACUGAACAACACGCCGAUGCACCCCUCGCCUA